UACGUAGGGGGCAAGCGUUGUCCGGAAUCAUUGGGUGUAAAGCGCGUGUAGGCGGUUCGGUAAGUCCGCUGUGAAAGUCGGGGGCUCAACCCUCGAAUGCCGGUGGAUACUGUCGGACUAGAGUACGGAAGAGGCGAGUGGAAUUCCUGGUGUAGCGGUGAAAUGCGCAGAUAUCAGGAGGAACACCAAUUGCGAAGGCAGCUCGCUGGGACGUUACUGACGCUGAGACGCGAAAGCGUGGGGAGCAAACAGG
rnacentral:rRNA from 1 species